CCUACGGGAGGCAGCAGUGAGGAAUAUUGGUCAAUGGACGAGAGUCUGAACCAGCCAAGUAGCGUGAAGGAUGACUGCCCUAUGGGUUGUAAACUUCUUUUAUAUGGGAAUAAAAUGUUCCACGUGUGGGAUUUUGUAUGUACCAUAUGAAUAAGGAUAGGCUAACUCAGUGCCAGCAGCCGCGGUAAUACGGAGGAUCCGAGCGUUAUCCGGAUUUAUUGGGUUUAAAGGGAGCGUAGGUGGAUUGUUAAGUCAGUUGUGAAAGUUUGCGGCUCAACCGUAAAAUUGCAGUUGAAACUGGCAGUCUUGAGUACAGUAGAGGUGGGAGGAAUUCGUGGUGUAGCGGUGAAAUGCUUAGAUAUCACGAAGAACUCCGAUUGCGAAGGCAGUUCACUGGACUGCAACUGACACUGAGGCUCGAAAGUGUGGGUAUCAAACAGGAUUAGAUACCCUAGUAGUC
rnacentral:rRNA from 1 species